GACGAACGCUGGCGGCGUGCCUAAUACAUGCAAGUUGAGCGAUGAAGAUGGGUGCUUGCCCCAAUUUGAAGAGCAGCGAACGGGUGAGUAACGCGUGGGGAAUCUGCCUUUGAGCGGGGGACAACAUUUGGAAACGAAUGCUAAUACCGCAUAAUAACUUUAAACAUAGGGUUUAAGGUUGAAAGAUGCAAUUGCAUCACUCAAAGCUGAUCCCGCGUUGUAUUAGCUAGUUGGGUAGGUAAAGGCUCACCAAGGGGAAGAUACAUAGCCGGCCUGGAAGGGAGGUCCGCCAAAAUGGGAAUUGGGAAAGGCCCCAAACUCCUAGGGGAGGAGGCGGAGGGGAAUUUUGGACAUUGAGGGAAGUCUGAACGAAGCACGCCGGGGGGGGGGAGGAAGGUCUUCGGUCGGUAAAGUCCGUUGGUUGGGGAGAAAGUUGAGUAGGGUGAUAAGCUCCUGUAGUGACGGUACCAACAGAGAAAGCGACGGCUAACUACGUG
rnacentral:rRNA from 1 species